rnacentral:rRNA from 1 species
GAUGAACGCUGGCGGCGUGCCUAAUACAUGCAAGUCGAGCGAACGGACGAGAAGCUUGCUUCUCUGAUGUUAGCGGCGGACGGGUGAGUAACACGUGGAUAACCUACCUAUAAGACUGGGAUAACUUCGGGAAACCGGAGCUAAUACCGGAUGAUAUUUUGAACCGCAUGGUUCAAAAGUGAAAGACGGUCUUGCUGUCACUUAUAGAUGGAUCCGCGCUGCAUUAGCUAGUUGGUAAGGUAACGGCUUACCAAGGCAACGAUGCAUAGCCGACCUGAGAGGGUGAACGGCCACACUGGAACUGAGACACGGUCCAGACUCCUACGGGAGGCAGCAGUAGGGAAGCUUCCGCAAUGGGCGAAAGCCUGACGGAGCAACGCCGCGUGAGUGAUGAAGGUCUUCGGAUCGUAAAACUCUGUUAUUAGGGAAGAACAUAUGUGUAAGUAACUGUGCACAUCUUGACGGUACCUAAUCAGAAAGCCACGGCUAACUACGUG